rnacentral:rRNA from 1 species
GAUGAACGCUGGCGGCGUGCCUAAUACAUGCAAGUCGAGCGAACGGACGAGAAGCUUGCUUCUCUGAUGUUAGCGGCGGACGGGUGAGUAACACGCGGAUAACCUACCUAUAAGACUAGGAUAACUUCGGGAAACCGGAGCUAAUACCGGAUGAUAUUUUGAACCGCAUGGUUCAAAAGUGAAAGACGGUCUUGCUGUCACUUAUAGAUGGAUCCGCGCUGCAUUAGCUAGUUGGUAAGGUAACGGCUUACCAAGGCAACGAUGCAUAGCCGACCUGAGAGGGUGAUCGGCCACACUGGAACUGAGACACGGUCCAGACUCCUACGGGAGGCAGCAGUAGGGAAUCUUCCGCAAUGGGCGAAAGCCUGACGGAGCAACGCCGCGUGAGUGAUGAAGGUCUUCGGAUCGUAAAACUCUGUUAUUAGGGAAGAACAUAUGUGUAAGUAACUGUGCACAUCUUGACGGUACCUAAUCAGAAAGCCACGGCUAACUACGUG